GAUCCUGGCUCAGGAUGAACGCUAGCGGCAGGCUUAACACAUGCAAGUCGAGGGGCAGCGUGGGGCAGCAAUGCUCUGACGGCGACCGGCGGAAGGGUGCGUAACACGUGAGCGACUUGCCCGUCACAGGGGGAUAACCGGGCGGAAACGGCGACUAAUACCCCAUAUGCUGCGAUGCUGCAUGGCAUUGCAAUGAAAAAUUCAUCGGUGGCGGAUAGGCUCGCGGG
rnacentral:rRNA from 1 species